rnacentral:rRNA from 1 species
AGCAGCCGCGGUAAUUCCAGCUCCAAUAGCGUAUAUUAAAGUUGUUGCAGUUAAAAAGCUCGUAGUUGAAUUUCGGGAUCAAUUUAUUGGUCGUGCUAUUGUACGUACUGGUAUUAUUGAUUUCUACCUUCUGACGAACCAUGAUGUCAUUAAUUUGGUGUCUUGGGGAAUCAGGACUGUUACUUUGAAAAAUUGAGUGUUUAAAGCAGGCUCACGCUUGAAUACAUUAGCAUGGAAUAACGAAAUAGGACGUUUGAUUCUAUUUUGUUGGUUUCUAGGAUCGACGUAAUGAUUAAUAGGGAUAGUUGGGGGCAUUAGUAUUCAAUUGUCAGAGGUGAAAUUCUUGGAUUUAUGAAGCUAACUACUGCGAAAGCAUUUGCCAAGGAUGUUUCA